UACGUAGGUGGCAAGCGUUGUCCGGAUUUAUUGGGUUUAAAGGGUGCGUAGGCGGCCUUGUAAGUCAGUGCUGAAAUAUCCCGGCUUAACCGGGAGGGUGGCAUUGAUACUGCAGGGCUUGAGUAAAGUUGAGGUUGGCGGAAUUGACGGUGUAGCGGUGAAAUGCUUAGAUAUCGUCAAGAACACCGAUAGUGAAGACAGCUAACUAAGCUUUAACUGACGCUGAGGCACGAAAGUGUGGGGAUCAAACAGG
rnacentral:rRNA from 1 species